rnacentral:rRNA from 1 species
AAAUUGAAGAGUUUGAUCAUGGCUCAGAUUGAACGCUGGCGGCAGGCCUAACACAUGCAAGUCGAACGGUAACAGGAAGAAGCUUGCUUCUUUGCUGACGAGUGGCGGACGGGUGAGUAAUGUCUGGGAAACUGCCUGAUGGAGGGGGAUAACUACUGGAAACGGUAGCUAAUACCGCAUAACGUCGCAAGACCAAAGAGGGGGACCUUCGGGCCUCUUGCCAUCGGAUGUGCCCAGAUGGGAUUAGCUAGUAGGUGGGGUAAAGGCUCACCUAGGCGACGAUCCCUAGCUGGUCUGAGAGGAUGACCAGCCACACUGGAACUGAGACACGGUCCAGACUCCUACGGGAGGCAGCAGUGGGGAAUAUUGCACAAUGGGCGCAAGCCUGAUGCAGCCAUGCCGCGUGUAUGAAGAAGGCCUUCGGGUUGUAAAGUACUUUCAGCGGGGAGGAAGGGAGUAAAGUUAAUACCUUUGCUCAUUGACGUUACCCGCAGAAGAAGCACCGGCUAACUCCGUGCCAGCAGCCGCGGUAAUACGGAGGGUGCAAGCGUUAAUCGGAAUUACUGGGCGUAAAGCGCACGCAGGCGGUUUGUUAAGUCAGAUGUGAAAUCCCCGGGCUCAACCUGGGAACUGCAUCUGAUACUGGCAAGCUUGAGUCUCGUAGAGGGGGGUAGAAUUCCAGGUGUAGCGGUGAAAUGCGUAGAGAUCUGGAGGA